UGUGAAAAGUGCGUGACAGGAAGCCCCCAUGGGAGACCCUAGCACUGGGUCGUGCGUACAGAGCCAGGAUUCCCCUGAUAACCUCUUCGGGGAACUGAUACUUGCACAGCACUUGUGUCAUAUAUUGCCAGUUAAGUCUGUCGAAGGCCUUUUCGGCGUCCAGCGCCAGGAAAAGACCUCCGAUUUGUCCCCUCUCCAUUCCCGCUAUUAUGUUUAGCACUUUCCUCGAGUUAUCAGAGCCUUGUCGGCCCCUCACGAAGCCGG